rnacentral:misc_RNA from 1 species
AUUUAACAAAACUUGGGUCUUCGUUCCCUCCACUCCCGCGAAAGAUAAACAAGCUAAUCGAAAACUAUGGGGACGUCUGUUGAUGCUGCAAUAAAGGAGGAAAAUGGAAAUGUAGCUGAGAAGAAGCCUACAGUUGUUUUUGUUUUGGGUGGCCCAGGCAGCGGAAAGGGUACCCAGUGCACAAAUAUUGUCCAGCACUUCGGUUAUACUCAUCUCAGUGCUGGAGAUCUUCUUCGAGCAGAAAUCAACUCUGGCUCUGAAAAUGGAACCAUGAUUCAAGACAUGAUUAAGGAGGGGAAGAUUGUGCCCUCGGAGGUAACAAUUAAUCUUCUUCAAAAAGCAAUGCAGGAAAGUGG